rnacentral:lncRNA from 1 species
CAAAAUUCCAAGUAACUCAUGCAAUUCACAACAAAAUUUAGGUUAAACUCUCUCCCCAAUUAAACAUUGCAUUGUCCUCAAUGCAAAAGCAUGUUUGCCAAAUAAAGGUAAGGAAAGAUGUCACAUGAGUACCGAAGUGAAUCACAUGAGCUAAAGUAUAAGAAGCCUGAAAGUCUUCAAUGGAAAAGGUGAUACAGAAAAUGAAAAUCAACUAGAAUGCAGUUAAUAAUGCAUGUGAUGCAAAUAAACCUAACAAAUGCAAAAAUAAGAUAAAAGAAGGGAAAAGAACUCCUCUUGGGUUGGCUCCCAAGUAGGGCCUUUGUUUAUUGUCGUUGGCUCGACCUAAUAUUUGUUUCUUUAGCUCGCAUCCUGUUAGGGCGUUAUCAACACUCUUUGCAUUACACCAAGCUUAGUGGAAAUAAUCACUGGUAAUGUUCCACAAUCCUGCAAAUCGUCAAAGGCACCACAAAUAUUAGCAUAUUCCCCAUCAUCAUACCUUGCUAGAAUUUCAGAAUUUAAAAGAAAAUAUUUUAAAGGGUUGGGGUUAAUAAUCGCAGGUGCUUCCUCCUAAACGAGUGCAUCACUCAUGAAUGUUUGAUGACGCUCAUCAUCCUCCUCAGGUUGCUUCAUGAUGUGAAAGAUGUUGAUGUCCAAAGUCAUGUUCCCAAAUGAUAAUUUCAAUAGACCAUUCCUGCAAUUGAUAAGAGCAUUAGCUGUGACAAAAAAAGGUCUACCAAGAAUUAUGGGAAUUUUGGAGUUAACAUUCACAAUAACUUUUAGGUCCAAAAUCAAGAAGUCAACAGGGUAGUAAAAUUUGUCAACUUGUACCAACACAUAAUCAACUACUCCCUUAGGCCUAAUAGUGGAUCGAUCAGCCAAUUGUAAACUUACUGAUGUGGGUUUCAUCUCUCCUAGUCCUAACAACAAGUAAGUAUCAUACGGCAUAAUGUUAACACUAGCCCCUAGAUCAAGAAAGGCUUGUGAAAUCUCAUGGUUCCCGAUGAUGCAAGAGACAGUAGGACAACCAGGGUCCUUAUACUUUAGUGGGAUAUUUUUCUCAAUCACAGUACUCACAUGUUUAGUUGGUGUUUCUUCUUCACAGUGCAGAAGUCUUUUAGGACUUUAGCAUAUGUGGGAACCUGGGAGAUCAUAUGUAGGAGAGAUAGAUUGAUUUUUACUUGUUUUAGAUGCUCUAGGAUUUCACUAUGUUGGCCGAUAGAUUUUGAGGUAGACUUGAGAGCUUGAGGAAAAUGUACUCUAGAUGGAUUUUUCACUACCUCCUCACUAGGGAUAUUCUCUUCUGAAUUGUUAGGGUCCUUUUCAUUCUCCCUAGAUUGAAGGGCUCGUUCAAUACUUUCCCAGAUCUAGUGGUUAUGGCAUUUACUUCUUUAAAGUUAGUCUCUCUCGAUCCCGAAAUUUGUGCCACAUGUUGUCCCUUUGAAUUUGGUUGAGCUUGAACUGGAAAUUUUCAACGUUUCCCUACAGCUAAGGUAUUGGUUAGUUUGGACACAUGGUUCUUUAUCUCUUUAUUUUCCUCAACUAACUAGCCAAUCAUAGUCUCAAAUUUUUUAUUUGUUUUACCAUGUGCCUCAAUAAAUAAAUGUAAAGUAUCUUCUAAGGAAUUCCUAGAGGAUGUGGGUUUACGUAGGGAUACAUUGUAAGCUCUAUUGGAUUGGGCAGAUUGUUGGUUUUCAGACUUCCAGCUAAAGUUGGGGUGAUUUCGCCACCCUGCGUUGUAAGUCUCGGGGUAAGGGAUAUAGGGCUUUUGAUAUAUGUCUAGAGCAUUACAGUGUUCCUCAUAAAGUCCUCUCAUUUAAGCAUAAGUGGCACACUCCUGUGCUAGGUAAUCAUUCCUUCCACACACAAAACAAGGCUCUAAAGACUCAACAUAGGAAAUGAAUCGAGUGGUUUUUGAAUUCUUAGCACGCAGGUUUUCAAGUUGUCUAGUAAGGGCUUCUACCUUUGCUCUAAGGUUACCUUCCUCCCUAAGAUGAUGAAUACCUGUGCCAUUCGAGUUUCCAUUGGGUCGUAACCUAUUAGUACUCUCGGUGGCACUAGGUCCAAUCUAGGUAUGGGCUUUCUCAACUAAGUUAUCUAAGCAGUCUAUAGCCUCAUCCGGAUCUUUUUGUAAAAAUUCACCAUUACACAUCAUUUCAACAAAUUGACGCUCCCUAGGUAAUAAUCCCUCAUAAAAUAGCUCACAAUGCGUCAACUUUCAUAACCGUGAUGGGGGUAGAGGUUUUGCAAUUCUUUGUACCUUUCCCACGCUUGAUAUAAAGUUUCACUCUCCUUUUGAGUAAAAGAAGAGAUUUGCUUUUCAAUGCAGCUGUUUUGUGGUGGGGAAAGUACUUGCCAACGAAUGCUUAAGUCAUUUCAGCCCAAGUCCCAAUCAAACGUGGUCGCAAUGAAUACAGCCAGCUCUUUGCUCUUUCUUUAAGAAAAAAGGGGAAAAAUUUAAGCUUGAUUGCAUCCAUUGUACCACGUUGAUUGUGGAAAGUUGCAACCACCUCUUCAAAUUCCCUAAUAUGCACGUAUGAGUUUUCAUUUUUAAGACCGUGAAAGGUAGGAAGAAGUUGGAUCAUUCCUGAUUUAAGGUCCAUGCGUGGCAUAUUAGGUAGAAAUAUAAUGCAAGAUGGUAUAGAUGUGCGCAUGGGUUGAAGAUAAUCAUGCAAGGUCCUAAUUGAUGCUUCUUCAUGUUCACUAUCAGUAAUUGUGUUGUGUGAUGUGAUGUGUGUGCCAAUAAAUUCAAUAUCAAAGAAAGGUUUAGAAAGAGAUUCAAACACUGGUUGCAGUCUUGCAAUGAAUUGUCCCCGCUCGUCCCAAUCUCUGUUCAUAAAGCACAAAAAAAAUAUGAAAUUUUGUGAAAAAUAAUAGAAUAAAAACUAAUAAAAUUAAGCUAAUUAAAAAAUGUAAAAGAGGAACGAAGUCACCCUUUCCCUCAAAGAUCCUUUGAUUAUUUAUACCGUCUUCCCGGCAUCAGUGCCAAAAUCUGAUUACGCUCAAAGAAUAACGUGGUAGUUGUAGCACAACUUUGGGGU